AAGAAGUGGAAGCGUGAUGGGCGAUUUACACUAAAGCCAGGCUGACUGACUGCUUUCUAAACGGCAUUUAGGAUGCUGCCGUUUGCUCUGGCUAAGGCAGACCUUCCCUAGGCAUGGUUUCAGUGGUGCAGAACCUCCCUUCUCUUGUCUGAUUUGCUUGUUCACGGGGCUGCAGAGACCCAAACACAGCAUGAAGAAGAGGCGCAGAUAACGCGUCAGCCCUGACAUUUCGUUCCGCCACUUGCAUAAAGGCUGCACUCGCCUGCCUGCUGCGAACACACCGCAGCGUUACUCACGGGCGGCGCAAAGAAAUGCCAGGCCAGGUAGUCUAACAGUGGAUACAAAGGAUAUAUUUCCUUCCAUACUCUGGCUGAAACCCCACCCUGAGAUCAUGGGCUGCAGAUCAUGGUAUAUAGGAGGAGUAGCUGAAGGAUGAGGAUGCAUCUCUUCCAGGGCAGGUGCCAGCCCAUGUUGCUCUGGGUCCUGCUAGCCAUAAUGGCCAGCAACCGCUUGAACAUGGUCACCUGCUGCUGGCUCUCCUCAUGCUGCCAUGCAUGGUUAUACUCAUGCAUGACCAGGCUGUGUGCAAUGUAGUUGGCCACCAUGUGCUCCUUCUGCUCCAACAUCUCAAUAGCAGCGUGUGAUCGCUUAGCCUGCUCCAGUAUCUCCAGCUGGAGGUCCAAGAUGGCUUUCUUCAGUUACUAUGAGCAGGACUUGAAAACUCCACUUACUCAUUCACUGGCAGUGAGCAGGCAGUUCUGUUUGAGUGCCAUUAAUUUCUGAAAAAAUCUAAGCUUUAAUUUAAAAAAAACAACAAAUUAAACUUCUAGCUUCUGGGGCUGUGAAAAUACCCUUCCAAAUAUGAACAGAAUGUAAAUCUAUAUAAAGUUAUCUUCCUAA